rnacentral:tRNA from 1 species
GGGCCAGUAGCUCAGUGGUCAGAGCAGGGGACUCAUAAUCCCUUGGUCGUAGGUUCGAUCCCUACCUGGCCCACCA